rnacentral:rRNA from 1 species
CCAAUAGCGUAUAUUAAAGUUGUUGCAGUUAAAAAGCUCGUAGUUGAAUUUCGGGAUUCUACCGUUGGUCGGGCUAACAAGUCUGUACUGGUGUGUAGAAUUUCUACCUUCUGGGGAACUAUCAUGUUAUUAAUUUAGCGUGGUGGGAAACCAGGACCUUUACCUUGAAAAAAUUAGAGUGUUCAAAGCAGGCUUACGUCUGAAUACAUUAGCAUGGAAUAAUAGAAUAGGACGGUGGUCCUGUUUUGUUGGUUUCUGAAUCACCGUAAUGAUUAAUAGGGAUAGUUGGGGGCAUUAGCAUUAAAUUGUCAGAGGUGAAAUUCUUGGAUUUAUUGAAGACUAACUUCUGCGAAAGCAUUUGCCAAGGAUGUUUUCAUUAAUCAAGAACGAAAGUUAGGGGAUCGAAGACGAUCAGAUACCGUCGUAGUCUUAACCAUAAACUAUGCCGACUAGGGUUCGGACGAUGUUAAAUUUUAUUGACUCGUUCGGCGCCUUACG